AAAUAAGUAAGCUAAUUCACAAGCUUUUAGACUCAUACUCUAAAAAUAGAGAAAAUUAUCUCUCUUAUUUA
rnacentral:tRNA from 1 species